AUUAAUUAACAAAAAAAAAAGAAUGAAGAAAAAUAGGGGAAGAAGAGAGAGAGAAAUCAUAGUCGGGUAGAGAAAGAAAGAGAGGAGAGAACAAGGAGAGAGAGAGACGAGAUUGUAAGAGGAGGAAAAGGAUCUAGUGGUGUCGAUGGCCGAGAGAGAUAAGUCACGUGGUGUUGUGCGACGUCGCAAUCGAAGGAGAAAGA
rnacentral:lncRNA from 1 species